UACGUAGGGUGCGAGCGUUAAUCGGAAUUACUGGGCGUAAAGGGUGCGUAGGCGGGUUUUUAAGUCAGGGGUGAAAUCCUGGAGCUCAACUCCAGAACUGCCUUUGAUACUGAAGAUCUUGAGUCCGGGAGAGGUGAGUGGAACUGCGAGUGUAGAGGUGAAAUUCGUAGAUAUUCGCAAGAACACCAGUGGCGAAGGCGGCUCACUGGCCCGGUACUGACGCUGAGGCACGAAAGCGUGGGGAGCAAACAGG
rnacentral:rRNA from 1 species